CACGUAGGGCGCGAGCGUUGUCCGGAAUUAUUGGGCGUAAAGAGCUCGUAGGCGGCCUGUUGCGUCCGCUGUGAAAGCCCGGGGCUUAACCCCGGGUCUGCAGUGGAUACGGGCAGGCUAGAGGUAGGUAGGGGAGAAUGGAAUUCCCGGUGUAGCGGUGAAAUGCGCAGAUAUCGGGAGGAACACCGGUGGCGAAGGCGGUUCUCUGGGCCAUACCUGACGCUGAGGCGCGAAAGCGUGGGGAGCGAACAGG
rnacentral:rRNA from 1 species